UGUUGGAAAAGGUUCUUUGAUUCGUGGAGAUUCAAAAUCCAUCGUAGUGUUGGUGUUUAUGAUAGAAGAUUGUAAGAGAGUUCUUGCCGUGAGGUUUGUACAAAGAUCUAACAUAGUGGAAAAUCCUUCAAGGUGUGAAGAGACUAUAUGCAUCCGUAGUUGAUAAGAGGAACUAGUAUAAUUACUUUUAUCAUUUAUUUAUUUUCACUUUAAUUUUCUGCAUAACAUCAUUCUAAACAAAGUGCAAUACAUUACUUGUUUUUGGAAAAGUAAAAAAGAAAAUGAACUUGCAUAAAAUACAAGAAAAAUCCAGCAUGUCUAAUUCACCCCCUCGUAGAUUGCACUAUGUAGUUACAAACUAUUGGCCUCUAUGACUUACACCAGCAUGUUGCCCGUGUGUUGCUCUACAGGUAAUGGUAAAAUAGGGAGUUCGUCACUUAUCUCGAGCCGAAAUAACAACAUUUGAAUCCAUGUGAGACCUUAUAGAGGAAGGAAGACAAAUAUCCACCUCCCUCAAAUCAAGGUUAGUGAAAUCCCCCUUUCAAAUUUCUUGAGAAGAUUCAUCACUAAUUCCCUAAGUAGAAAUAUUAAGGGGUUCAUCACCACUUUCUAUCGAACACUCACUAGACCCAAAACUAUCACUAAGUAUAAUAAAAUUGAGAGUGAAACGAUUCAUCACCACUUUCUGUCGAACCCUCACUAGACCUAAAAUUAUCACUAAGUAUAAUAAAAUUGGGAUUGAGACACUUAACUUCUAGGAGAUCGACAUUUAGGACAUCUGAAUUUUCUUAUAUUGGUGAUAAUGGAUAAUCUCCACCAUAAGGCUCAUUCAUUAUGUUUUGAGAAAUAUUUUCUAUAUUUUUCAUAGUAAAGACAAGAAAAUUAAGCAACAAAUGUAAAGGAAAAUGGACUAGAAAUGACAUCUAAGUAUGGAAGUGAACGAAGAAACAAGUAGUAGCAAGAGAAACUCGAAAAUUAGGAUGAAACUGAAACAGUGAAUCCAAAUAGAAAGGACGGGUGGCAAAAUUAGAGGUUACCACAAUUUAGCAAAGAAUAAUAGGGUUGCGAACAAACGUAAGUCUCAGUUGGGAGAGGUAACAAUUUUUUUUGAAACCUUUAUAUAAUGAAGCGGGAUGAAUGAGUCAACAGUGUAGAAUGAAAGAAAAUGGGAGGAUGAAAAAUCAACUUUCAAAUUUUACCUCGAAAAUAUAACGACACUUGAGUGCACAUGAGCACGGCAAUGUCCUUACCUACGAACCUAGGGCCACGUGUGAAGAAAACCCUAUGAAAUGUCUCAAUGAUUAGACUAGCAUUUAAUACAAUUGUCCCCAAAUCUCUUCCGACUCAGUUCCUUGAAAUACUUCUCGUAUAACACGCCAUGAUAAGUCUUGGGGCAACAAUUUUUUACCAAUCACAUGCUCAAUACGCAAAGGCUUAAUUGUCGCUCAUUAUAUAUAAAGCACUGUGUGAACAGUAAAAAAAAAUUGUGUCUCUUUAUAAUUCACUCUACUUCGUUUUUCAGUUGAAAUGCUAACUUUGUCCGUCCACUCCGUACAACUGCAUCGAAGCAGCAGUCUACACCACCACCUCAAGAAAUACUAUCAACAAUUUUGGUUCCCGAACGGAUAUAUAAUUCCAUAGAAUUCAUCCCUUUCUAUUGAAUUUAUGUGAAAAUUUUGAAAAAAAAUCAAUAACACAAAAAAAAUACAUACUUGCAUAACUUAAAAAAUCAUAAAAAGUAAUUAAGUUUGACAAAUUUACUAUUUUAGUUAAAAUACAAUAUAGUUAUUUCAGCACAUGUGUAGGGGUGCCAGCACAUGUGUAGGGGUUGGGGUGCACCUCAUGCCAAAUAAAAUUCUCAAAUUAUUGACUCCAUUAAUAUAGUUGUUUUCUAAUGUAGGUAAUCUAGGUCCAGAGAAGCCCCAUGUUUGGCCCAUUGUCCUUUUGCAAGUGCCUCAACAAACAUUGGAUAAAUGACCUUUUUUUGUAGAAGCAAAAUUCUAUUUAAAAAAGGAUGCAAAUAAGUCAAUUGAACCAAACUUAAGAGUAGUGACUUUCCUAGAGGCAAUGCUACAAUCAAAAGAACUUCAAACUUGGUGUAAAAUAAACUCCAUCAAAACCUAGGCAAGCAUAUGCUGCAGAAGGAAAGAUAUUAUAUACAUCUCUGCUGCAGAGAACCAAUGUUGACAUGGCCAAGUGAAUAUGGAAGCAAUAAUAAUACAUAGAAAGAAUUUGAAUCCAAUCUAGUUAAAAACAUUCUUCUAUAGAACCAGAAAAUGAUCACUAAUCUAUUUUUUGAGAGCAGAACAAUCCCUUUAGACAUCUUACAUCACUAUUGCCUUGCUUCUGGUUCUUCGGAAGUUGGUUGUAUGGAGUUAACAGCAGUAGGUUCGACGUGCCUCUCAAUAUCCGCGUUCCUUUCUGAUGUAUGUGGCGGCUCGUCGAGAGGUUGGCUCAUGGUGAAUGUAACGGGUCUCACGUGUUUUGUUUCGGACGAGUUUUUCAACGGCAGACGGCAUACUGGACAGGUAGAUUGUUUCCUCAGCCAUAUAUCAAUGCAACAAAGAUGAAAAGUGUGGCCGCAUUUCGGCAUGAUUCGCAAUAUUUCUCUUUCUUUGUAGUCCGCCAAACAUAUUACACACCUGUAGAAGCAAACUCGGUUAUUUAUCUAUUCACUGGUUCCUUAAUGAUUCGCAAUAUUUCUCUUUCUUUGUAGUCCGCCAAACAUAUUACACACCUGUAGAAGCAAACUCGGUUAUUUAUCUAUUCACUGGUUCCUUUUUUCAUUAACUUAUUAAUCUAUCACGGACCUGCCUAGAUAAACAACUUAUUUAAGCACUUAUAACAUCGUCGCUUAUCAUAUAAAAUAAUUUUGAAGAGUGUUUAUAUCAAUAGAUAAGCUCCUAUAAAUCGAUUCAACUAGAUCCUUAAUCUAUCAUGUAUCUGAUACAACAACAACCAAGUCUUACCCUGUAUCUGAUGUUAACGAAAAUAUGAGGAACUUAUUCUGUAUGAGUUAGAAUUAAUAAAAAGGACUUAACUGUGUAUCUUCAAUGGAACUGAAAGCCUCUUGAUUGAACUUCAAAGUGGGGAUUGCUUCAAGCAGAACUGGUUCAGAAUCAGGGUCAUUAACAUGAUGUUCUGGCUAUCAGGAAACAAUGAAAAAUCAAAAACUAAAUCACCAAAACCUGCUAAGUUACAAAAUUACAUAAACCAGAAAACAGCUUAUUUGCAGCUUAAAACCACAAUCUCUUAAUAUUCUAUGUAAAUAGAAUGCAGCAAAAAUUACAUAAACCAGAAAACAGCUUAUUUGCAGCUUAAAACCACAAUCUCUUAAUAUUCUAUGUAAAUAGAAUGCAGCAUUUGCAUCAGACUCGGAAAUUAAAAAACAACAAACAAUUGCAGAUUGUCAUACCCCGAUUUUGUCCGAGUUUAUUUUUGAACUCUUGUUGUUUGUUUACAACCAUAAAGCAUGAUGCACACACUCAAAGGCUUGAGAAUUUCACCAAAAAGAGGAGAGUAGUCCUUCUUGAUCAUCAUCUUAAUAACGAGGUUAUAUUAUACGCCAAGUCAUAAUUCUCAUGUCUCUUUAUAUUGUGGAUUUUGGUCAUAUUUCACUAAGGAGUCCAAAGUGCCCCAAAGGGUGACGCACGGUUUGGUUAUGAUGGUAUUUUCGUUUGUUUAUUGGCAAGUUUGUUGAUAAGCCAUUAGCAAGGAUGCGCAUCAUCAAAGUCCAUAUUUUAUUCAUCUUGAAAAAACACCCGACAGACCUAUCUAUCACUUAGUGGCAUUUUAAACCCCAUGCAUUUGGAAAGAAGGAAUGGCGCCUGUACUGUUUAAAAGUCCUAUGUCAAAUUCUAAGAAUGGUGCAUAACAAAAAGAAACAACUGUACAUGCGUGUGUUGGUUUACAUUAGGCAUUGGUGUUUAAACGCUACCCACUGAAAGAAGAAAAAUGUAGCCCUUUCCUAUUUGGAAUUCAUGACUAGAAUAGUUACAAUCCAUUGUUUCGAUAAUACGAGACAGUUUUCUUUCGGUUGAAAAUUAUUGAAAUCCAGUAUUGAGGGGGCAUAAACUAUAAAUUACACUGACAGAGCCAUGGCCCAAGACAUAAACAUUACGAACCAACAAAGUCAUGAUUAAAACAACUUGGUCAACCAACCACAAGAGUCUCAUGCCGUCUCUUGGUUCGGGAUAUUCCAAGGAAUCACCAAAGGUUGAAACAGGAUUGUAUUAGUUGAUGCAGAAUAGCAUGGCACUCGUUCUUGAGAAAUUCCAAAAGAUGCAUUUCUAGGCACGGACUGGCACGGACUGGAGCUCGGUUUCCUGAUAUUAAAACAGGUAACAUUAGCACAUCUAGGAAAGUUCUAGAUACGAGAAAAUUGUACAGCACAUUGCAGUUUGGAUACUCAAACAAGACAGUAUUUUAAGUCAUUACCGGAUGCCACAUCAGGAUGAGUUUCCACGCUUACCAGCAUAAGAAUGGCCGCUCCUUUGAAACAGAAGUCAAAACUUGGACAUCAUGUAUCAAUGCGUCGUGAACCUGCACUCACUGUCAAAUAGUCACAACAUUACCAAGUAUAUCAUGGGAAAGCAGUCACGCCAAGAUUCGUUAAAAAAGCAGCAAAAGCCAUUGAGUCGAAAUCAAAUGCGUCAUCACAGCUCAAAAAAAACCUUACACCAAGUAUCAUCACAACAGUAAGGUACAAACUGCAGAAAUACUCAUUGUGCAAGGUUUAAAACAGAUACCGACAUGUUACGGCAUCAUGAUGCAAGUCUAUCCAUCACAUAACCAUGCCGUCUACCUACCUGUCAAAAAACCAGCAUCAAACCAGCAUCUAACCUAACUAAUACCAUGCUCAGACCAACACCAAACGCAUAAAUUCUAAUGGCCUACCUCAUCCUUCAACCAAAACCAAACAUGUCCUACAACAUGUGAGAGAAACCAACCAUCAGGACUUAAUCAUUCAGUCCAAAUUCAGUCACAAAAUAAAAGCCGUAAGUACCAUUUUGCCAAGAACACUCCAAUGCAUGAAUAUGGAUGAACCAAGCAUGGUACGGCCGUCCUAACCCUGCUACAAAACGUAUGCCACAAGUGAAACGCUUGAGAUAAUAUACUGUAAUACAGGACCGAGAUCUUGUAAUUCAAGGCAUGUGUGAAACAUGAACACAAAUGCAAAUCAAACCAAUAUUCAUGAAUGGAAAUGCAUACUUACUAUGAGUUUUCAAGUCCGCUAUCUAAAGUCUGCAAUCAAUCCCAAGGCAGUGUGCUAUACCAAGCAUCACCACAACAGUAGGUCUCAGCAGGCCAAAGCGUUCAACCACAAGUAACAUAUGGAAAACAUGAAGCAAUCAGUUAAAACUUCAAGAAAAUUGCAAGAACACAUUGAAAAAAAACUGCUUAUCACAACCAAUAGACAGGGUAAUGCAGGAAAGUUUGAGUCAGUUAUAAGCCAUGAUGGACGAACCUUAAGUCAAACUGGAGUAUUGCUACUGUGCGCAUAUCCAUAACCAAAAUAACAGUAGACAAAUAUCAGUAAAAAAACCUGUUACAAAAAUCAAUACGUGGUUAAAAUAGAACAACUACUGCAGUGAAAAGUAAAAAGAGAGGGUUAUUGUAAAUUCACUACAGACAAAACCUUACCUUUGGAAGGACCACAUCAAUUUGGAGGACCACCAAAUCUGAGGAAAAAUCUUGCUAACGGAAUGAUUCUCCCACCAAUUUGACAGCUCAUGAAAGAGAGGAAAGAUUGAACCUCGUACAAAAACGCUAUAAAUAAGGACCUCCAGGGAUGAAGUAGGGAUCCGAAUUUCUGCGCCGUUACUCUGGAGAAAUCAUUCCAAAACCCUCAUUAAAAAGCUCCGUUUUGAACUUGUUGAGAUUUUCACACCGAAGCUCAACAAGCUCGAGCUAAGCCCCUGUCAAAACCGAAACAAACCCAAAUCGUUAAAGAGGAAGCGAAGAAGACGGAAAGUUCGAGAGGAAGAAAGAACCUUGAAGGACGCUAAGGAUCAUUUACCUCACCUUGCCGGAUUUGAAACGUCGGACUAGCUCCGAUUUGGUAUUUAACAUUUCCCCUUUGCAUGAUUUGAUAUUACCAUCUUGUUCACAUCGCCUCACAAAACGCAAACCCCGUGAUUAUUGCAUAAAAUUGUUGUUACCAUGGUUUUGAUUUUGAGCUGAAAACCCAGGUUUCUGAUUGUGUUUGUUUUCCGAAUCUGGCUCUUUGGAUUUUGCUGGUUUAAAUCUGGGUUAGGAUUGUUUGUUUGAUUAGGAAUUUGGUGGUGGUUUCCGAGUCUCGUGACGGCACCGCCGUGGUUGCACGGUUUGCCUCAACGGUGAGGUGGGUUUUGGAACAGAGGAAAUCGUUUUAAGAGAGAGAGAGUUUAGCGAAGGCUUUUUGUUUAUGCUCACACUUUGUUUUUCCUCACUAAUAAUACAUCUGAUGCUGGGAUAAUGAACUUUUCAAGCGUCUUUUGAAUGAUAACGUUACUGUACAUUCAUGUUUUAAUGCACCAUAUUUUAAUUAUUAUUUGUUUGGUUUUCAAUGCAUAGAUUAAAGGGAAUAUAUUUAUGAACUUGUCGGUUCCUAUGUUGAGAAAUGGAACGACUAUCUUGAAAGAUGAGGCUCCCGCCUCUUUUGCUUUAUU
rnacentral:lncRNA from 1 species